AUUGAACGCUGGCGGCAGGCUUAACACAUGCAAGUCGCACGAGUGGCGGACGGGUGAGUAAUGCUUGGGAAUCUAGCUUAUGGAGGGGGAUAACUACGGGAAACUGUAGCUAAUACCGCGUACCAUAGGAUGAGCCCAAGUGGGAUUAGGUAGUUGGUGAGGUAAAGGCUAACCAAGCCUACUAUCACUAGCUGGUCUGAGAGGUUGACAAGCCACACUGGGACGGGUACACGGUCCAGACUCCGACGGGAGGCAGCAGUGGGGAAUAUUUCGCAAUGGGGGAAACCUGACGCAGCCAUGCCGCGUGAAUGAAGAAGGCCUUCGGGUUGUAAAGUUCUUUCGGUAGCGAGGCGUUAACUACAGAAGAAGCACCGGCUAACUCCGUGCCAGCAGCCGCGGUAAUAC
rnacentral:rRNA from 1 species